rnacentral:rRNA from 1 species
ACUUGCGUCUAUUGCUAUGGGGUAACACCUGUUCCCAUUCCGAACACAGCAGUUAAGACCAUAAACGCCGAAACUAUCUGGCUGGAGACGGCCCGACAAUCUAGGUAGACGCAAGUU